rnacentral:rRNA from 1 species
CACGUAGGGCGCGAGCGUUGUCCGGAAUUAUUGGGCGUAAAGAGCUCGUAGGCGGUGUGUCACGUCGGCCGUGAAAACCUGCAGCUUAACUGUGGGCGUGCGGUCGAUACGGGCAUCACUGGAGUUCGGCAGGGGAGACUGGAAUUCCUGGUGUAGCGGUGAAAUGCGCAGAUAUCAGGAGGAACACCGGUGGCGAAGGCGGGUCUCUGGGCCGAUACUGACGCUGAGGAGCGAAAGCGUGGGGAGCAAACAGG